rnacentral:lncRNA from 1 species
GUGGUUUCAAGUUUUCUCUCAAAUAUGAGAUAUUCUUGGAAUUAAAUAUCUGUUGAACUGUAAAUUAGCCCCAAACCUAAUUACCAUCCUGUUUUAGGAGAUAUGCAUCUGAACUCUUGCUUCUCCAGGAGGUAAAGGGGUAAAGCUGGCAUGUACAUAAGAGGUGCUGGAGCCUGUUUGGCAUGGCUCUUUGGAGAGAGAGGAGAAAGGAACUAGGGAAAGAAUGUAUGUCUUCUCUUGUAACAGCAAGUCAAGAGGCUUCUGGAGUGCAGGGUAGUAACUAGACAAGCUUGUUCUCACUUGAGCUUCUCUAUCCCCUGUCUUUGCUCUCCAGAUGGCAGUCAGAUCUCUGGCUUUUUACAGGAAAGUAUCGUUCCUCUCUGGCACAGUCUUAUCAGGAGUCUGAUGGCAGAGCAGGUUUGGGAAACCCUACCAGUCAGUCCCACAUUAUACAGAACGCUCAUGGUGUGAUACAGUUGAUGUUUUUAGUCAGCCUUUUUGUUUAGGGUAAGUAGGUGAGAAAAGAGCUCUCCAUGCCAGUCAACAUAGUGAGAAUCCUCCCUGUCUCUUCUGUGAUUCCUGUCUGUCCUUGUUUCUGAGUAUUAAUCUGCCAUUAAGCUCUGUUUUAACUUUCAUGUACUGUGUUUCCCAUGGAAUCUGUUCUAAACCGCUAUGUUUGAUUGCCAGUGAGUGACAAGUUUGCCAGAGAAAAGGCACAGUGCUGACUUAGCAAUUUCAUGUAGCUUUUUAAGUGACCUUGAGGCAAACUGUUCCAGACAGAUUGCAAAAAAGGAAUGAUUGACAACUUCCCUUAAACAUUUUUAGUAGUGAAUUUUUCUUUCCUUCCCGUGUUUAGCAAGAGUAAACUGGGAAUUGACAGUCUUUCUCAUAUUUGAGAAGCUACUAUUCAUUUUUAAUCUGUAAGAAAAAAUUUAUUGUGACCAAUGGAGAAAAAUGCACAGAAGUGACAGAAUGCUUCCAAAACAACCAUCAAUAAUUGUCGAUGUUUUAGUGAAAACAAAACUAAUGCUCACUGCUACGCACCCUGUUGAUGUGUAAUAAAUACUGAUGACAGUGACCACUUUUCGCUUUUUGGGCCACCUAAAACCAUUGUGUAAAAGGAUUUAGAAGCAUCAUCUUCAUACAACAUAUUUUCUUUGGAAAAGUAUGUCCAACAUUGAAAGCUUAUAGUUCUGUAUCUGGACCUUUAUGGGUGAGGGAAAAAACCAGAUUUUCCAAACUUUGGAUUAGGAGACUGGUUUAUAUGAGACUGAAACAUUUAGCACACCAUUUUAAACAAACAAGAUAAAAACCACGAAAGUGCAAAAUCAUUUUUAACCCAUCCCUACAUUCUAAACAGUAUGUUUAUGAGAAACAAACCCUGUGUAUAGCACAUCUACUGAAAUGGGAGACUUUUAAACAUCUUUCUUGUUGGCUCCAUAAACUGCAAGUGUUGAUUUUCUUUUGAGAGAGCUCUGCCCAUCAGUUUACAUGAAAAAUGCCUUCCUAUCAUUAAAGCAGUUUCUCAGGAGCUAGAUUUCUCUCUUUGAGGUGAUUUACAUCACGAUUAAAUGUAAUAGUGUCCUUAGAGUUUUGACAUCCAUUUAGAACUUAAGUCUUGAAUUUCAGAAAUGUUAACUGCUGUUUGUAUUUGUGUCUCUUUUGUUUAUUGUUUGUAACAAAUAUUUGCUCUGUCUCUCCAGUCUUAGAUGAAUAGGAAUAGUAAAAUC